CAGCCGCCGCGGUAAAACGGAGGGUGCAAGCGUUGCCCGGAUUUAUUGGGUUUAAAGGGUGCGUAGGCGGCUAUUUAAGUCAGCGGUGAAAGACUCCGGCUCAACCGGAGCAGUGCCAUUGAUACUGGAUAGCUUGAGUGUUGGAGGGGUACAUGGAAUUGAUGGUGUAGCGGUGAAAUGCAUAGAUACCAUCAGGAACACCGAUAGCGAAGGCAUUGUACUGGCCAACAACUGACGCUGAGGCACGAAAGCAUGGGGAGCGAACAGGAUUAGAUACCCGUGUAGUCCCUGUCUCUUAUAC
rnacentral:rRNA from 1 species